rnacentral:rRNA from 1 species
GACGAACGCUGGCGGCGUGCCUAAUACAUGCAAGUAGAACGCUGAAGGAAGGAGCUUGCUCUUUCUGGAUGAGUUGCGAACGGGUGAGUAACGCGUAGGUAACCUGCCUGGUAGCGGGGGAUAACUAUUGGAAACGAUAGCUAAUACCGCAUAAAAUUGAUUACUGCAUGAUAGUCAAUUAAAAGGUGCAACUGCACCACUACCAGAUGGACCUGCGUUGUAUUAGCUAGUUGGUGGGGUAACGGCUCACCAAGGCGACGAUACAUAGCCGACCUGAGAGGGUGAUCGGCCACACUGGGACUGAGACACGGCCCAGACUCCUACGGGAGGCAGCAGUAGGGAAUCUUCGGCAAUGGACGGAAGUCUGACCGAGCAACGCCGCGUGAGUGAAGAAGGUUUUCGGAUCGUAAAGCUCUGUUGUAAGAGAAGAACGAGUGUGAGAGUGGAAAGUUCACACUGUGACGGUAUCUUACCAGAAAGGGACGGCUAACUACGUG